AUUGAACGCUGGCGGAAUGCUUUACACAUGCAAGUCGAACGGCAGCACGGACUUCGGUCUGGUGGCGAGUGGCGAACGGGUGAGUAAUGUAUCGGAACGUGCCCAGUCGUGGGGGAUAACGUAGUGAAAAUUACGCUAAUACCGCAUACGAUCUAUGGAUGAAAGCGGGGGAUCGCAAGACCUCGCGCGAUUGGAGCGGCCGAUAUCAGAUUAGGUAGUUGGUGGGGUAAAGGCCCACCAAGCCAACGAUCUGUAGCUGGUCUGAGAGGACGGCCAGCCACACUGGACCUGAGAUACGGUCCAGACUCCAACGGGAGGCAGCAGUGGGGAAUUUUGGACAAUGGGCGAAAGCCUGAUCCAGCCAUUCCGCGUGCAGGAUGAAGGCCCUCGGGUUGUAAACUGCUUUUGUACAGAACGAAAAGGUUUCUACUAAUACUAGGAGCUCAUGACGGUACUGUAAGAAUAAGCACCGGCUAACUACGUGCCAGCAGCCGCCGUAA
rnacentral:rRNA from 1 species